CGUUUGCAGUGAGAUGCUUUCGUGAGCGUUUCCCAUCAAGGAUCCCAGGAGGCGCGAGGGUAGCUGUGGUAGCCGUACUGCUGCCCAGCAAUGACAGAAACCUUGGAUAAUCUCCCUGACUCCAGCAGCUCAUCCUGGAGUACCUUUCCUCCAUAAUACACCUAAUCCUUGAAGCCUAUCCCAGCUCCUAUCAGCCAUCUGCCAUCACUGGCGGAGAACCUAUGGUCCUGAAAGGGAAAAUGAAGAAUUGAUCCAGACAAAGAACUGAAAUUCAAACACAAAGGUGCAUGAGAAAUGAUCCUUCUGUGAAAUGAUUUAUAUUUCUUGUUUGUAUAGCAAUGGUGUUAAUGAGCUAAA